GUCAGUGUGGUGUAGUGGUUUGAGUUUUGGGUUAGGAUGCUGGGAGACCAGGGUUCAAAUCCCUGCUUGGCCA